GACGAACGCUGGCGGCGUGCUUAACACAUGCAAGUCGUACGGUAAGGCCCUUUCGGGGGUACACGAGUGGCGAACGGGUGAGUAACACGUGAGUAACCUGCCCACAACUUUGGGAUAACGCUAGGAAACUGGUGCUAAUACUGGAUAUGUGCUCCUGCUGCAUGGUGGGGGUUGGAAAGCUCCGGCGGUUGUGGAUGGACUCGCGGCCUAUCAGCUUGUUGGUGGGGUAGUGGCCUACCAAGGCGGCGACGGGUAGCCGGCCUGAGAGGGUGACCGGCCACAUUGGGACUGAGAUACGGCCCAGACCCCUACGGGAGGCAGCGGUUGGGAAUAUUGCACAAUGGGCGCAAGCCUGAUGCAGCAACGCCGCGUGCGGGAUGACGGCCCUCGGGUUGUAAGCCGCUUUCAGCAGGGACGAAGCUUUUUGUGACGGUACCUGCAGAAGAAGCACCGGCUAACUACGUG
rnacentral:rRNA from 1 species